CCUACGGGUGGCUGCAGUGGGGAAUAUUGGACAAUGGGGGCAACCCUGAUCCAGCCAUGCCGCGUGUGUGAAGAAGGCCCUCGGGUUGUAAAGCACUUUCAGUGAGGAAGAACGCCUGGUGGUUAAUACCCAUCAGGAAAGACAUCACUCACAGAAGAAGCACCGGCUAACUCCGUGCCAGCAGCCGCGGUAAUACGGAGGGUGCGAGCGUUAAUCGGAAUUACUGGGCGUAAAGCGCGCGUAGGUGGCUUGAUAAGCCGGUCGUGAAAGCCCCGGGCUCAACCUGGGAACGGCAUCCGGAACUGUCAAGCUAGAGUGCAGGAGAGGAAGGUAGAAUUCCCGGUGUAGCGGUGAAAUGCGUAGAGAUCGGGAGGAAUACCAGUGGCGAAGGCGGCCUUCUGGACUGACACUGACGCUGAGGUGCGAAAGCGUGGGUAGCAAACAGGAUUAGAUACCCGGGUAGUC
rnacentral:rRNA from 1 species